rnacentral:rRNA from 1 species
UACGAAGGGUGCAAACGUUGCUCGGAAUUACUGGGCGUAAAGCGCACGUAGGCGGAUUGUUAAGUCGGGGGUGAAAUCCUGGAGCUCAACUCCAGAACUGCCUUCGAUACUGGCGAUCUCGAGUUCGGGAGAGGUGAGUGGAACUGCGAGUGUAGAGGUGAAAUUCGUAGAUAUUCGCAAGAACACCAGUGGCGAAGGCGGCUCACUGGCCCGAUACUGACGCUGAGGUGCGAAAGCGUGGGGAGCAAACAGG